rnacentral:rRNA from 1 species
CGAACGGAAAGGCCCUGCUUGCAGGGUACUCGAGUGGCGAACGGGUGAGUAACACGUGGGUGAUCUGCCCUGCACUUCGGGAUAAGCCUGGGAAACUGGGUCUAAUACCGGAUAGGAGCCAUUUUUAGUGUGAUGGUUGGAAAGUUUUUUCGGUGUAGGAUGAGCUCGCGGCCUAUCAGCUUGUUGGUGGGGUAAUGGCCUACCAAGGCGGCGACGGGUAGCCGGCCUGAGAGGGUGGACGGCCACAUUGGGACUGAGAUACGGCCCAGACUCCUACGGGAGGCAGCAGUGGGGAAUAUUGCACAAUGGGCGCAAGCCUGAUGCAGCGACGCCGCGUGGGGGAUGACGGCCUUCGGGUUGUAAACUCCUUUCGCUAGGGACGAAGCUUUUUGUGACGGUACCUAGAUAAGAAGCACCGGCUAACUACGUGCCAGCAGCCGCGGUAAUACGUAGGGUGCGAGCGUUGUCCGGAAUUACUGGGCGUAAAGGGCUCGUAGGUGGUUUGUCGCGUCGUCUGUGAAAUUCCGGGGCUUAACUCCGGGCGUGCAGGCGAUACGGGCAUAACUUGAGUACUGUAGGGGUAACUGGAAUUCCUGGUGUAGCGGUGAAAUGCGCAGAUAUCAGGAGGAACACCGAUGGCGAAGGCAGGUUACUGGGCAGUUACUGACGCUGAGGAGCGAAAGCAUGGGUAGCGAACAGGAUU